rnacentral:ncRNA from 21 species
GGCAGUCCGUCCCGUGGGUGCUCCCACAUACUGAGCAAUGCUUGUCAUUGUUUGGGUGAACUGUGAAACCGUCGCAGUCGCGCUACUGUAACUGGUGAGUUGCUCUCCCCUCUUCGUAAGAGGUAUGCCACUGUCUUGCUGAUGGGAAGGCAGGUAGAGCCGCGCUAUAAGCCAGGAGCCAGGAUACCUGUAUUCGACCAGGACAGAGAG